UACGAAGGGGGCUAGCGUUGCUCGGAAUCACUGGGCGUAAAGGGUGCGUAGGCGGGUCUUUAAGUCAGGGGUGAAAUCUGGAGCUCAACUCCAGAACUGCCUUUGAUACUGAAGAUCUUGAGUUCGGGAGAGGUGAGUGGAACUGCGAGUGUAGAGGUGAAAUUCGUAGAUAUUCGGUAGGAACACCAGUGGCGAAGGCGGCUCACUGGUCCAUUACUGACGCUGAGGCACGAAGGCCAGGGGAGCAAACGGG
rnacentral:rRNA from 1 species